UACGUAGGCAGCGAGCGUUGUUCGGAGUUACUGGGCGUAAAGCGUGCGUAGGCGGUUUUGUAAGUUUGGUGUGAAAUCUCCCGGCUCAACUGGGAGGGUGCGCCGAAAACUGCAAGGCUGGAGUGUGGGAGAGGUAGGCGGAAUUCCUGGUGUAGCGGUGAAAUGCGUAGAUAUCAGGAGGAACACCUGUGGUGUAGACGGCUUACUGGACCAUGACUGACGCUGAGGCACGAAAGCGUGGGGAGCAAACAGGAUUAGAAACCCCCGUAGUCC
rnacentral:rRNA from 1 species